CGAGCGCACCCUUAUCCUUGUUUGCCAGCGAGUAAUGUCGGGAACUCCAGGGAGACUGCCGGUGAUAAACCGGAGGAAGGUGGGGACGACGUCAAGUCAUCAUGGCCCUUACGAGUAGGGCUACACACGUGCUACAAUGGCGCAUACAGAGGGCAGCCAACUCGCGAGAGUGAGCGAAUCCCAAAAAGUGCGUCGUAGUCCGGAUUGGAGUCUGCAACUCGACUCCAUGAAGUCGGAAUCGCUAGUAAUCGUAGAUCAGAAUGCUACGGUGAAUACGUUCCCGGGCCUU
rnacentral:rRNA from 1 species